CUACGGGAGGCAGCAGUGGGGAAUAUUGGACAAUGGGGGCAACCCUGAUCCAGCAAUGCCGCGUGUGUGAAGAAGGUCUUCGGAUUGUAAAGCACUUUCACUAGGGAAGAUGAUGACGGUACCUAGAGAAGAAGCCCCGGCUAACUUCGUGCCAGCAGCCGCGGUAAUACGAAGGGGGCUAGCGUUGCUCGGAAUGACUGGGCGUAAAGGGCGCGUAGGCUGUUUGUACAGUCAGAUGUGAAAUCCCCGGGCUUAACCUGGGAACUGCAUUUGAUACGUGCAGACUAGAGUCCGAGAGAGGGUUGUGGAAUUCCCAGUGUAGAGGUGAAAUUCGUAGAUAUUGGGAAGAACACCGGUUGCGAAGGCGGCAACCUGGCUCGGAACUGACGCUGAGGCGCGAAAGCGUGGGGAGCGAACAGGAUUAGAUACCCUGGUAGUCCACGCUGUAAACGAUGUGUGCUGGAUGUUGGGUGAUUUUAUCAUUCAGUGUCGGAGCUAACGCGUUAAGCACACCGCCUGGGGAGUACGGCCGCAAGGUUAAAACUCAAANGAAUUGACGGGGGCCCGCACAAGCGGUG
rnacentral:rRNA from 1 species